rnacentral:rRNA from 1 species
CGUUGACCUCGAAUCAGGUAGGACUACCCGCUGAACUUAAGCAUAUCAAU